UUAAACCUCUUAUCUGUCGCUCCAUUAUUCCAGUUAUUGCUACUAUUGCUGCUGCUGUUAUUUUUUUGGUUAUUGUUCUUCUUCAUCCCACUCCCUCUGAUUCCGUCGUUAUUCCAUCCUUGUCGCCGCCUUCCCCGCAUCCAUCACCUCCCUGUCCAACCACCACCACCGGCGCCCCGUGCCACAGCCACCGCGGGCAUCGCUCACGUUCACUUACAUACUCACCCACAGAUUCAGCCACGGCACCCAUAGAGGAGGUGCUAGUGGCGGCAGAAGAUGAGGAGGAAGGGCAGCGGCGGAAAGAGCGAGGAGGAGGGGGCGGGGAGGAGGGAGUAGAUGGAGAAGAAGGGGUUGUUGGCGAGAGAGAGGGAGAUGGGAGAGCAUUGGAGAACUCUGAGAAGUGGAAUAAGAAGAUGUACAUUAGGAAGAAGAGGGAUGAGGGAAGUACGGCGCCUGAGAGAAGGCAUGGAGAGAACGUAAGUUGGCCCCACCUAGCAGAAAAUGCCAAGAGAAAGUGUUGUUCGGGAGGAGGGAGAAGGGGCUGUUAGGGCGUUGGAGAUAAAGAAGUGGUUAGGGAGAGGGUAAGGGAAGUACAAAGAAGAAAAAUAAAGGGGAGAGGGUGUAGGUAUAUGAGAAGGGGAAUGGGACGAACGACAUAAGAGGG
rnacentral:lncRNA from 1 species